CGAACGGGUGAGUAACACGUGAGCAACCUGCCCCUGACUCUGGGAUAAGCGCUGGAAACGGCGUCUAAUACUGGAUAUGUCCCGUCACCGCAUGGUGUGCGGGUGGAAAGAUUUUUCGGUUGGGGAUGGGCUCGCGGCCUAUCAGCUUGUUGGUGAGGUAAUGGCUCACCAAGGCGUCGACGGGUAGCCGGCCUGAGAGGGUGACCGGCCACACUGGGACUGAGACACGGCCCAGACUCCUACGGGAGGCAGCAGUGGGGAAUAUUGCACAAUGGGCGGAAGCCUGAUGCAGCAACGCCGCGUGAGGGAUGACGGCCUUCGGGUUGUAAACCUCUUUUAGCAGGGAAGAAGCGAAAGUGACGGUACCUGCAGAAAAAGCACCGGCUAACUACGUGCCAGCAGCCGCGGUAAUACGUAGGGUGCAAGCGUUAUCCGGAAUUAUUGGGCGUAAAGAGCUCGUAGGCGGUCUGUCGCGUCUGCUGUGAAAUCCCGAGGCUCAACCUCGGGCUUGCAGUGGGUACGGGCAGACUAGAGUGCGGUAGGGGAGAUU
rnacentral:rRNA from 1 species